CUGGUAGUCCACGCCGUAAACGAUGUCGACUUGGAGGUUGUGCCCUUGAGGCGUGGCUUCCGGAGCUAACGCGUUAAGUCGACCGCCUGGGGAGUACGGCCGCAAGGUUAAAACUCAAAUGAAUUGACGGGGGCCCGCACAAGCGGUGGAGCAUGUGGUUUAAUUCGAUGCAACGCGAAGAACCUUACCUACUCUUGACAUCCAGAGAACUUAGCAGAGAUGCUUUGGUGCCUUCGGGAACUCUGAGACAGGUGCUGCAUGGCUGUCGUCAGCUCGUGUUGUGAAAUGUUGGGUUAAGUCCCGCAACGAGCGCAACCCUUAUCCUUUGUUGCCAGCGGUUCGGCCGGGAACUCAAAGGAGACUGCCAGUGAUAAACUGGAGGAAGGUGGGGAUGACGUCAAGUCAUCAUGGCCCUUACGAGUAGGGCUACACACGUGCUACAAUGGCAUAUACAAAGAGAAGCGACCUCGCGAGAGCAAGCGGACCUCAUAAAGUAUGUCGUAGUCCGGAUUGGAGUCUGCAACUCGACUCCAUGAAGUCGGAAUCGCUAGUAAUCGUGGAUCAGAAUGCCACGGUGAAUACGUUCCCGGGCCUUGUACACACCGCCCGUCACACCAUGGGAGUGGGUUGCAAAAGAAGUAGGUAGCUUAACCUUCGGGAGGGCGCUUACCACUUUGUGAUUCAUGACUGGGGUGAAGUCGUAACAAGGUAACC
rnacentral:rRNA from 1 species